CUUCUCUCCAAAAUAAAUUGACGGGUGAAUUGAGUUCACCAGCGUUCACCCUCCACCACCCUGAUCCCUGAGAGAUCUCUCCGUAGUAAACAAAAUAUGUUGUUUACAAUCACACCUGCCACAACAAAUGGGAUAAUGCAGAACAUGUUUAUUGAUAUUUUAUUCAGGCCUGACCUCUGAUUAUAAAAGAAAAGCAUCCAAGCAGACAGUUGUGUGCGGCUCCAACAACCCCCCCCAUAUAAGAAACACAAAUAAAAGACAAAUGAUCGCAAUAUGAGCCACAGCGCCGUUAACAGAAAAGACGCAGCUGGUAAUAAGUACAGUCCUCUCCCAUCAGCCCACAGUUUUAUUGUGAAACAACACCUCUCCCCUCAGCUGUCCUGAGAUCACACCGAACCUCGCGGCCUCUCGCGCAUUAUUAUCACUGCCUCAGCUGAAGCGCGCGCGCCGCGGAAAAGUCCAGUUCGGUUUUUCCGCGAAGCUCCAAAAAUCUAUGAAAUGUGUUUGCAUGUUCCUCUCUGCAAGCGGGGAUGUAGAGGUGGGAUUGCGAGGACCGAGAAAGCUGGGGGAACCCACGCGUUCAGCCUCAGAGAAAGUAUACGCUUUUCCAAAAGAACUGACGGUGAAUCAUUUUUUUCUUUUCACAUUUGUCACUAACAGGCAGACACUCUGUAGGAUUGUGUUCUCGGAGAAUAAGCUUUUUUUUUUUUUUCCUGCCCUUUCCUUUUUUUUUUUUUUUUUUGUCACCAUUCUGCACGGCAGGCUGAGAGACGGACCGCUCGGACUGUGGGAGCCCUCCCCUCUGCUCGGAUCUGCUUUGUUUCCAGAUGGCCCAUGGAAGAACGUGGAUGAGGGCUGAGCUGUAGUGCGGGCAGAAGGCUCUGGGGCCUGCCUGUUGUCGGCUGGCUGAUUGGUUCAUUGAGGUGAGGCACUACUCUCACCGGGGCACAGAACGGACCGAGAAGAGGUCUUUGCUCCCCCUCCUCACUCACCCCUGCCCCCUUUCCACCCUCACCCCCAACCU
rnacentral:lncRNA from 1 species